GGUAGUGUGGCCGAGCGGUCCAAGGCGCUGCAUUCAGGUUCCAGUCUCUCAGGGGGCGUGGGUUCUAAUCCCACCACUGCCA